GGGUGUGAUCAUACCAGCACUAAUGCACUGGGUCCCAUCAGAACUCUGCUGUAAAGCAUGCUUGGGCGAAAGUAGUACUAGGAUGGUUGACCUCCUGGGAUGUCCUCGUGUUGCACCCC
rfam:Gossypium raimondii Chr06_contig_386, whole genome shotgun sequence.